rnacentral:lncRNA from 1 species
CCUUCAAUUCCUUUAGGAUGGGACAACCCACACAGAGAAAUGCAUUCAGGCAUUAUUCCAAGAGGCUCACCUCCACGGCCCAGAUUAGAUGAUUCUAUAUAGAUAAUAGCUAUCCCCCCAGACUUAGAGAGCAUGCAUGCCUCUUCGAGGAGUAAAAAGCCAACAGAAGCUGCCACCUCUGAGCAUCUACCUGGUGGCCUUGCACCCCAGUGAUGGUGUGACUGCUCUCUGAUCUCCCAGCCCUGACCCCACACCCAGCGGUAGCUCCACCCCUCCAUCAUGGUACUGUGGUCAGCACUUAAUAUCAUGGACUUGUAGUUCCAGCAGUCUCAGCAGGAGUAUGAGGAAAGACAGUUUCCUUUGUGACCUGUAGGAAAUUUCCAUGUCUGAGUCUCAUUUCACACUAACAACUGACCCCUCCUUCAUAGACCUGGUCUUUUGAACAAGCGGUCUCUCUCAUUGAGAGAUAUUG